rnacentral:misc_RNA from 1 species
ACGAGUUAGGGUCUCUCUGGCCCGACCUCCCAACCCUAUGUUUAUUGAACCUCUGUUGCUUCGGCGGACCCGCCUCACGGCCGCCGGAGGACCGCUGCAAGGCGUCCUCUGGCCAGCGUCCGCCGAUAGCCAACCACUUAAACUCUGAAUAAAUCGUGUCAUAUGUCUAAGUCUAUGAUUAAAUUAAAGCA